CCAUUUUCCUCCUCUUCCGCUGACGCCGACAACUACGUCGAACGUCACUCGCACACCAAACACCCCAUCACCAGCUCCCUUUUCUCUCUCUCUUUUGUUCACCGUAGCUGUCUCUGCGGAUUGGUAGAAUCGAAGCGGCCAGUUCGUUUAGCUGGCCUCUGAUGCCUGUCAGGCAACGGCUCUGCGGGCUCCCCUGUUAGUCUACCCUGCCAUAGCGAUUGCUUCGCGCCGGAGCGGCACUUGACGAUGGCUGCUCUCGGGUCGGAUGUGCAGGCCACCAGUGUCGAGCUCGUCUCUGUGAUUGAGAAAAUGAAGGAGCGCAAGACGUUACUUGAAGAGCAAAUCGCUGCCGAGGAGGCUGAGUACGAGGGUGUGCUUGCCGAAGUGCGCGCUAUGCAGGAGAGACUCUCCGCCCUGAAAGACAGUCUCGCGAAGAAGCAGGCGGUGCGAGCGGACUUGGAGCGGACCAUAUCGGAGACGUACUCGGCGUUCAAGAGCAUCCUAGACGCUUCCAAGAAGCUGCUCUCCACCGCCAAGGAAGAGUCAUCGGUGCUCAAGGCGCAGAUAGAAUGACGCCAAAAGUGGGAAGGCACAAGAGGCGAUGAGGCAAACAACCACAACAUAAAUGCGAUCAGCUCG
rnacentral:misc_RNA from 1 species